GUUGAACGCUGGCGGCGUGCCUAAUACAUGCAAGUCGAGCGAAGAGGGGACGGGUGUGUAACACGUGGAUAACCCCCUAUAAGACUGGGAUCACCUCGGGAAACCGGAGCUAAACCGGACACUUAUAGAAGGAUCCUGGUUGCAUUAGGUAGUUGAUAAGGUAACGGCUUACCAAGGCCACGAUGGAUAGCCGACCUGAGAGGGUGAUCGGCCACACUGGAACUGUGACACGGUCCAGACUCCUACGUGAGGCAGCAGUAGGGAAUAUGCAGCAAUGGGCGCAAGCCUGAAUGAGCAACGCCGCGUGUGUGAUGAAGGUCUUCGGGUCGUAAAGCUCUUUUAUUAGGGAAGCGUUACCUGCUCAGAAAGCAACGGCUAACUACGUGCCAGCAGCCGCGGUAAUUC
rnacentral:rRNA from 1 species